rnacentral:rRNA from 1 species
AGAGUUUGAUCAUGGCUCAGAUUGAACGCUGGCGGCAGGCCUAACACAUGCAAGUCGAGCGGUAGCACAGAGAGCUUGCUCUCGGGUGACGAGCGGCGGACGGGUGAGUAAUGUCUGGGAAACUGCCUGAUGGAGGGGGAUAACUACUGGAAACGGUAGCUAAUACCGCAUAAUGUCGCAAGACCAAAGUGGGGGACCUUCGGGCCUCAUGCCAUCAGAUGUGCCCAGAUGGGAUUAGCUAGUAGGUGGGGUAACGGCUCACCUAGGCGACGAUCCCUAGCUGGUCUGAGAGGAUGACCAGCCACACUGGAACUGAGACACGGUCCAGACUCCUACGGGAGGCAGCAGUGGGGAAUAUUGCACAAUGGGCGCAAGCCUGAUGCAGCCAUGCCGCGUGUGUGAAGAAGGCCUUCGGGUUGUAAAGCACUUUCAGCGGGGAGGAAGGCGUUAAGGUUAAUAACCUUGGCGAAUUGACGUUACCCGCAGAAGAAGCACCGGCUAACUCCGUGCCAGCAGCCGCGGUAAUACGGAGGGUGCAAGCGUUAAUCGGAAUUACUGGGCGUAAAGCGCACGCAGGCGGUCUGUCAAGUCGGAUGUGAAAUCCCCGGGCUCAACCUGGGAACUGCAUUCGAAACUGGCAGGCUAGAGUCUUGUAGAGGGGGGUAGAAUUCCAGGUGUAGCGGUGAAAUGCGUAGAGAUCUGGAGGAAUACCGGUGGCGAAGGCGGCCCCCUGGACAAAGACUGACGCUCAGGUGCGAAAGCGUGGGAGCAAACAGGAUUAGAUACCCUGGUAGUCCACGCCGUAAACGAUGUCGAUUUGGAGGUUGUGCCCUUGAGGCGUGGCUUCCGAGCUAACGCGUUAAAUCGACCGCCUGGGGAGUACGGCCGCAAGGUUAAAACUCAAAUGAAUUGACGGGGGGCCCGCCACAAGCGGUGGAGCAUGUGGGUUUAUUCGAUGCAACGCGAAGAACCUUACCUGGUCUUGACAUCCACAGAACUUUCCAGAGAUGGAUUGGUGCCUUCGGGAACUGUGAGACAGGUGCUGCCAUGGCUUGUCCGUCAGCUCGUGUUGUGAAAUGUUGGGUUAAGUCCCGCAACGAGCGCAACCCUUAUCCUUUGUUGCCAGCGGUUCGGCCGGGAACUCAAAGGAGACUGCCAGUGAUAAACUGGAGGAAGGUGGGGAUGACGUCAAGUCAUCAUGGCCCUUACGACCAGGGCUACACACGUGCUACAAUGGCAUAUACAAAGAGGAAGCGACCUCGCGAGAGCAAGCGGACCUCAUAAAGUAUGUCGUAAGUCCGGAUUGGAGUCUGCAACUCGACUCCAUGAAGUCGGAAUCGCUAGUAAUCGUAGAUCAGAAUGCUACGGUGAAUACGUUCCCGGGCCUUGUACACACCGCCCGUCACACCAUGGGAGUGGGUUGCAAAAGAAGUAGGUAGCUUAACCUUCGGGAGGGCGCUUACCACUUUGUGAUUCAUGACUGGGGUGAAGUCGUAACAAGGUAACCGUAGGGGAACCUGCGGUUGGAUCACCU